rnacentral:rRNA from 1 species
CCUACGGGUGGCUGCAGUCGAGAAUCAUUCACAAUGGGGGAAACCCUGAUGGUGCGACGCCGCGUGGGGGAAUGAAGGUCUCCGGAUUGUAAACCCCUGUCAUGUGGGAGCAAAUUAAAAAGAUAGUACCACAAGAGGAAGAGACGGCUAACUCUGUGCCAGCAGCCGCGGUAAUACAGAGGUCUCAAGCGUUGUUCGGAAUCACUGGGCGUAAAGCGUGCGUAGGCUGUUUCGUAAGUCGUGUGUGAAAGGCGCGGGCUCAACCCGCGGACGGCACAUGAUACUGCGAGACUAGAGUAAGGGAGGGGGAACCGGAAUUCUCGGUGUAGCAGUGAAAUGCGUAGAUAUCGAGAGGAACACUCGUGGCGAAGGCGGGUUCCUGGACAUUAACUGACGCUGAGGCACGAAGGCCAGGGGAGCGAAAGGGAUUAGAUACCCGAGUAGUC